UACGUGGGAAUUCAACUUUUUGCAUCCCAA
rnacentral:piRNA from 1 species